GAUGAACGCUGGCGGCGUGCUUAACACAUGCAAGUCGAGCGAAGCACUCUGAUUACUUCGGUUUGAAGAGUGACUGAGCGGCGGACGGGUGAGUAACGCGUGGGUAACCUGCCUCACACAGGGGGAUAACAGUUAGAAAUGACUGCUAAUACCGCAUAAGACCACAGCACCGCAUGGUGCAGGGGUAAAAACUCCGGUGGUGUGAGAUGGACCCGCGUCUGAUUAGCUAGUUGGUGAGGUAACGGCUCACCAAGGCGACGAUCAGUAGCCGACCUGAGAGGGUGACCAGCCACAUUGGGACUGAGACACGGCCCAAACUCCUACGGGAGGCAGCAGUGGGGAAUAUUGCACAAUGGGCGAAAGCCUGAUGCAGCGACGCCGCGUGAAGGAUGAAGUAUUUCGGUAUGUAAACCUCUAUCAGCAGGGAAGAAAAUGACGGUACCUGACUAAGAAGCCCCGGCUAACUACGUGCCAGCAGCCGCAGUAACAC
rnacentral:rRNA from 1 species